rnacentral:rRNA from 1 species
GCUCAAAUUUGAAAUCCCCCCGGGGAGUUGUAAUUUGAAGAUUGCGUCUUGGAGGCGACCGUGUCUAUGUUCCUUGGAACAGGACGUCACAGAGGGUGAGAAUCCCGUGCGGCACGGCCCCCGGCUCCUUAUAAGGCGCUCUCGACGAGUCGAGUUGUUUGGGAAUGCAGCUCAAAGUGGGUGGUAAAUUCCAUCUAAAGCUAAAUACAGGCGAGAGACCGAUAGCGAACAAGUACAGUGAUGGAAAGAUGAAAAGCACUUUGAAAAGAGAGUGAAACAGCACGUGAAAUUGUUGAAAGGGAAGGGCAUGCCGUCAGAUUGUCAGUGUGGGUAAGAAGCGGGGUACAAAGACUGUGGAACGUGGCCCUCGGGUGUUAUAGCCGCAGUUCAUGCCCCGUCUCUUUCCGAGGCCUGCUUUGAGGACACCGACGUAAUGACGGUACGCCGCCCGUCUUGAACCACGGACCAAA